UAGAGAGUCAACAUCAACUCCACAUAUUCUGAAGACUACUUUGCAAAAAGUGAAGAUUGUUAUUCAAAGUGCACUUGUACUGUAAGCUGGGUGACCUGGGAGAAGGAGGCAGGGCUUUAACCUACAGCCAGUGUGCUAAGAAUCGAAUACAAACCUCUGCUCCUAACAUUGUACACUCAGAGCUCAACCAAAAGUGUGCAGUCAGGGAUCUGCAGCCAGUGUUUAUUUAAUGAUUUUUGUGAAGUUUCACCAGUACAAGUGGCUGGCUUUUUCAAAGAUUCGUCUUCCGUUGCUGGUGGUUGUUUGAAGAUUGCAAGAGAAAAACAACAGAUCGAAAGAGGAUGGGAGCAUGAAGACACACUGUAUUAUGUUGUGAUCUAUCUGAAAACUGGUCUGAUGCAGCUCUCCACACCAGUCUACCUUGUGUAAGUCUCUUCAGUUCUACAUAGCUACUGCAACCAACAUCUACUUUAACCAACUUACGGAACUCAAGCCUUGGUCAUGGUCUACAACUUUUACCCAUCCAUGCUUUCUUACAUUACCAAAUUAACCAUCCUUUAAUUCCUCAGGAUGUGCCCUAUCAACAUAUCCCUUCUUUUAGUUGUGCCAUAAAGAUGUUUUUGCCCCCACUCAGCUCAACAACUCUUCAUUAGUUAUACAUUAAACUGCACUAAACACAUUAAAAAAUUAUCUUGGACAACCAGUUUUGAUACAGUUAAUGUGGUAUUAUCUUACACAUCCUUAAAAGUACAGGCAUAACAACUGCAAUGCAAUUAUUAUUGUUUUUGAGAACCAGUAACCAUAAGAGCUUUACAUCAGACACAACAUUAUUGGAUUUGAUACAAGUGUUUGUAACAAAGAGAAUUACUGUUUACAAAUUUUGUCCAAAGGACAAGUAAUCAAAAGUCAGUAUUGAUGAAGAAAAUAUACAUCAUUAGCAUAGAUUCAAAUGUAGUAUCUGAUAGCAGUGAGACAGUUGGCCUAUGCAGCAGCCAAAAUUGAUCAAGGACAUUACAGAUCCAUUGUGGCUUACUACCAAUAUUAAAAAUCUAUAGAGGUGGCAUGAAGCUCUAAAUUGGAAGUAACAGGAUUAAGUAGAAUCUGAAAUGAAAUGAAUCCAGAACAACAAUGAGGAGAACUUUGCAAGAGGGCUUUGGUGCAUUCGAGGACAAAACUCACUGUACGCACAACAAAUUCUACUUAUACAAUGUACAUAGUAAAGUGAAUCAAGACAGUUAAAGCAUGUAUGUCGGUGCUUCAUUGCCAGACACAUGACAAUAAAAUUGAGGUAAAUAUUCUGAAUUCCAUUUUUCAGAUUUCAUUCACUAAAGAGGAAUGUUUGAUGGAUACACAAAUGGGAAGGUUUAUAACAGUACAGCCUUCCCUUAGAUUCAUAUGAAAUGUCUGAUAUCACCUUUUUUUAUGCACCAGGUGGUUUUUGGAUGAUUCAGUGCUUCCUGGAGACUUUUGGUUCAAAUGGCUCUGAACACUAUGGGACUCAACAUCUGAGGUCAUCAGUCACCUAACUAACCUAAGGACAUCACACAUAUCCAUGCCCAAGGCAGGAUUCGAACCUGCGACCGUAGCAGUCACGUGGUUCCAGACUGAAGCACCUAGAACCGCUCAGCCACACUGGAGACUUUUGUGUGUGUUUUGGACACAUUAUUCAGUUCAAUUAGCGAAAAUACAGUUUUUUUUUAUUCUGGAAGGACAUAUAUUAUUGUAAUUGUCUAUGGAUUGUUGUCAUUAACAAAAUUAUGUACAGGUUCCAAAUCAAAAUCCUAGCUGAGAAGUUGAAGUAAGAGAUAUUUAGUAACAAAAGUUAUGAGGCUGUGGAAAUGUCGGCAUAAGUGGCUGGUGCCUCUGAUUACCUUAAUUACAGUUGAUUGGUUGGUUGACACAGAGAACCUCAUUAUCUUGAGAAACGUCUUAAAAAUUAUUAACAAGUGAUGUAUUAUCAUUUGUUAUCUAUUUUUAUGUCCUUCUCUGUAAUUAAUAUCCUUUGUAAUUACAUUUCUAAUUAACUCUCCAAUUGUUUACAUCACACUACUUUAUGAUUUUCAGAAUUUGAGGCCUUAUUUGUAAUUUUUCAUAUGAAGCACGAGAUUUGUAUUGUCUUUGAAUGUUAGUAACCAAAUCCAAACUGUAAUUGAUUACAUAACUAAAAUAAUACAAGAGACAUUGUUGUAAUUAAAAUUCAGAUUGUUUUUGUAUUUAAAACUAGUCAUGAUACUACAAAAAUUUAUGUAAUACUAUAUAGUAUUUUAUACCUUAUAGUUUCUUUACGUUUUGUAAAUUUUAAUUGCUACAUCAGAAUUGUGCAAAAUUAAUAAUGGGUUAUUUUGAAAUUUAUUGAAAAAAUUCUAUGUAAAGCGAUGCAGCGAUGCUGCAAGUUAGUUGUUGAGUUGUUGUUUUUUCAGUCAGUCAAAGAGAUCUGUGAAGUAUGUCAGUCAGUGCUUUGUUAACGUGAUGAGCAUGCAGUUUAGUUGUCAAUAAAUUUUGUGAUGUUGGAAACUGUUAUAUCCUUUCAUCAAAUGGACUCCAGGCCAAGUUAAGUUAAUUUAAGUAACGUUCAAGAAUAUAGCAUCGUUACAGAUCCAUGCAAAUGCUGAAAUUUUAAACUAGUUUCCUGUCACCUAAUCAGUGAUUUUAGUAUUUUGAUUAUUAUUAUUAUUAUUAUUAUUACUAUCAUAUUAACAGAAUCUUCCCUCGGUUCUUGGUAGAACAACAUUAUAAUAAUAAAUGAAAAGCACCAGUCUGCUUUUGUU